AGGUAGCGGGCCGGAUCCACGGCAGCCGCCCGCCCCCGCCUUGCCCAGCGCUCGGUUUUCCUUCUGCUGCAGCCUGCGGGGGUCGCCGGAGGGGUAGCUGGGGUACGCCGAGCGCCGCCCAGCAGGUGGAGGGCCGAGGGAAAUAAAACUACUUGCGCAGGAACUUGUUUUGCGGGGCCCUGUGUUUGGUCUGCGGAGAGGAAUCGGUGGCGACUGAGAAUCGAGGGAGGAAGGGAAUGAUAUCUCCUUGGUAGCCUAAAGCAUGGGUUUUCUGUUUUGUCCUUCUUUUGCGAUGGGUUAUUUUUUCCUGGCACUGCCAGACACAGCAAAGUAGCAAGACAAGCAGAGCCCAUCCUAGCCAUUGUUGUCUUGAGCAUCCUGCCAGCAGGGGAGCCCAGGCCAGGCUCCUCUUUGGUGUUAGCACCUCUCCAGCCCCUCUUCAUUGCGGAUGUACUGGAAUGACUCAAGUUUCUGUGUUCUUGUUUUGCUUCCCCUCUCUCCCUCCCAACACACACACACACACACACACACACACACACACACAACAGUGGGAAUUUGAGAGUGCGUGCAAUUUUAUUUUGAAAUCUCUGCUUUUAUUUUUUUACUGAUUCCUGGCGGUAGUCACGUUUCUAGGCAAACAUUUACAGGGACUUCCUCCUGCAGCACUCCGCAGCAAUUAAAAAUGAAAUAAACAGAAAAGCAUAAUGAAAAUAGGAUUGGAAAGAUAAAAUGACUGCUGCAGAAUUCACACCAGAUUAAAGAUUUUUGUUUCCUUUGAGACAGGAACUUGAAAGUGUGAAACUUUACAAGUAUGGGUCACAAGCAUUUUGUGGAAUGGUAGGGGGCAGGGAGCAGAGUGCCUGAUACUUGCAAGGUAAUAAAACAGCUUUUUUUGUGCCUCUAGAACCUUGGUUUGGUGGAGAUACUGGGGAGUGUUUGCUUUAGAGGCGAAUGAAACAAUCUCUUAUGUGCCAGGAUGGAAGUCAUGCAUUGCCACUACUAGCUUCAUAGUCAUAUUUUUCAAAGGAUGUCAGAAUACUGCUAUCACAGGCUGGCAACUGAUGAGAAACUACUGCUCCAGAGGAUGACAUUUAUGACAUGGUGCAGAAGCCCUGGAAAUAAGCUUCUCCUCACCAAUAAUGGAAGUGCCUGCUCAGUGGGUCUCUUUGUGUUCCCUGCUGUCCUCUGUACCCUUUCUUCCUUCCUCAUAUUUCUGAGAAUAGUCACCCACUAUUGGCUAAUAUCUAUGUAUUCUAGUAUGGUGGUUCUUCACUUAAUGGUUGUGGCCUCUUUGAGGGAGGUCAGAUGACCCUUUCACAGGGGUCACCUAAGACCAUCAGAAAACACAGAUAUUUACAUUA